CCAUAGGAAGGCUCCAUGGCUUCUACUGCCUCUGGGGCAGGGUUGUGGUCAAGGCCCCAGCAGCCCAUGAACUGAUUUGCCAGCCCCAUCAGAGAAUGAAAUGUUCACAACUGCCUGAGUGAGCCCUGCAGCCAGAGGGACACCUAUGCCCCCUAGGUCCCAGAUGAAGUCUCCAAAGGAAGCCCCCAUGGAUUACAGUGCCCCAGGUGCAAGGGCUGUGGUCAAGGUCUCAGUGGCUCACAAGCUGCUGCUUCUAGCCCCUUUGGCAAAGCAAAUCUCUGUGA